rnacentral:ncRNA from 1 species
GCGGCAGUUUAGGGGUGCCUUAAUAAAACGGGCUGAGAUCAUACCCAUUGAACCUGAUCCGGGUAAUGCCGGCGAAGGGAAAACACGGUGAACGAAA